rnacentral:rRNA from 1 species
UACGUAGGGGGCAAGCGUUGUCCGGAAUCAUUGGGCGUAAAGAGCGUGUAGGCGGUUUAGUAAGUCUGCUGUGAAAGUCCAGGGCUCAACCCUGGGAUGCCGGUGGAUACUGCUGGGCUAGAGUACGGAAGAGGCGAGUGGAAUUCCCGGUGUAGCGGUGAAAUGCGCAGAUAUCGGGAGGAACGCCAAUGGCGAAGGCAGCUCGCUGGGACGGUACUGACGCUGAUGCGCGAAAGCGUGGGGAGCAAACGGG